CGCGGCCUAUCAGCUUGUUGGUGGGGUGAUGGCUCACCAAGGCGUCGACGGGUAGCCGGCCUGAGAGGGUGACCGGCCACACUGGGACUGAGACACGGCCCAGACUCCUACGGGAGGCAGCAGUGGGGAAUAUUGCACAAUGGGCGCAAGCCUGAUGCAGCAACGCCGCGUGAGGGAUGACGGCCUUCGGGUUGUAAACCUCUUUUAGUAGGGAAGAAGCGAGAGUGACGGUACCUGCAGAAAAAGCACCGGCUAACUACGUGCCAGCAGCCGCGGUAAUACGUAGGGUGCAAGCGUUAUCCGGAAUUAUUGGGCGUAAAGAGCUCGUAGGCGGUUUGUCGCGUCUGCUGUGAAAACUAGAGGCUCAACUUCUAGCUUGCAGUGGGUACGGGCAGACUAGAGUGCGGUAGGGGAGAUUGGAAUUCCUGGUGUAGCGGUGGAAUGCGCAGAUAUCAGGAGGAACACCGAUGGCGAAGGCAGAUCUCUGGGCCGUAACUGACGCUGAGGAGCGAAAGAGUGGGGAGCAAACAGGCUUAGAUACCCUGGUAGUCCAUGCCGUAAACGUUGGGCACUAGGUGUGGGGGACAUUCCACGUUCUCCGCGCCGUAGCUAACGCAUUAAGUGCCCCGCCUGGGGAGUACG
rnacentral:rRNA from 1 species